rnacentral:rRNA from 1 species
UAGGGAAUAUUGCAAAAUGGGCGAAAGCCCGAUGCAGCAACGCCGCGUGGGCGAUGAAGGCCUUCGGGUCGUAAAGCCCUUUUUGAGGGGAUGAGGAAGGACAGUACCCUCAGAAUAAGCCUCGGCUAACUACGUGCCAGCAGCCGCGGUAAAACGUAGGAGGCGAGCGUUAUCCGGAUUUACUGGGCGUAAAGCGCGUGCAGGCGGAUUGGAGAGUUGGAUGUGAAAGCUCCCGGCUUAACUGGGAGAGGUCGUUCAAUACGUCCAGUCUUGAGUGCAGUAGAGGGAAGUGGAAUUCCGGGUGUAGUGGUGAAAUGCGUAGAUAUCCGGAGGAACACCAGUGGCGAAAGCGGCUUCCUGGACUGUAACUGACGCUCAGACGCGAAAGCUAGGGUAGCAAACG